rnacentral:rRNA from 1 species
GAUGAACGCUGGCGGCGUGCCUAAUACAUGCAAGUCGAGCGAACAGAUAAGGAGCUUGCUCCUUUGACGUUAGCGGCGGACGGGUGAGUAACACGUGGAUAACCUACCUAUAAGACUGGGAUAACUUCGGGAAACCGGAGCUAAUACCGGAUAACAUAUUGAACCGCAUGGUUCAAUAGUGAAAGGCGGCUUUGCUGUCACUUAUAGAUGGAUCCGCGCCGUAUUAGCUAGUUGGUAAGGUAACGGCUUACCAAGGCAACGAUACGUAGCCGACCUGAGAGGGUGAUCGGCCACACUGGAACUGAGACACGGUCCAGACUCCUACGGGAGGCAGCAGUAGGGAAUCUUCCGCAAUGGGCGAAAGCCUGACGGAGCAACGCCGCGUGAGUGAUGAAGGUCUUCGGAUCGUAAAACUCUGUUAUCAGGGAAGAACAAAUGUGUAAGUAACUGUGCACAUCUUGACGGUACCUGAUCAGAAAGCCACGGCUAACUACGUGCCAGCAGCCGCGGUAAUACGUAGGUGGCAAGCGUUAUCCGGAAUUAUUGGGCGUAAAGCGCGCGUAGGCGGUUUUUUAAGUCUGAUGUGAAAGCCCACGGCUCAACCGUGGAGGGUCAUUGGAAACUGGAAAACUUGAGUGCAGAAGAGGAAAGUGGAAUUCCAUGUGUAGCGGUGAAAUGCGCAGAGAUAUGGAGGAACACCAGUGGCGAAGGCGACUUUCUGGUCUGUAACUGACGCUGAUGUGCGAAAGCGUGGGGAUCAAACAGGAUUAGAUACCCUGGUAGUCCACGCCGUAAACGAUGAGUGCUAAGUGUUAGGGGGUUUCCGCCCCUUAGUGCUGCAGCUAACGCAUUAAGCACUCCGCCUGGGGAGUACGACCGCAAGGUUGAAACUCAAAGGAAUUGACGGGGACCCGCACAAGCGGUGGAGCAUGUGGUUUAAUUCGAAGCAACGCGAAGAACCUUACCAAAUCUUGACAUCCUUUGACCGCUCUAGAGAUAGAGUCUUCCCCUUCGGGGGACAAAGUGACAGGUGGUGCAUGGUUGUCGUCAGCUCGUGUCGUGAGAUGUUGGGUUAAGUCCCGCAACGAGCGCAACCCUUAAGCUUAGUUGCCAUCAUUAAGUUGGGCACUCUAAGUUGACUGCCGGUGACAAACCGGAGGAAGGGUGGGGGAUGACGUCAAAUCAUCAUGCCCCUUAUGAUUUGGGCUACACACGUGCUACAAUGGACAAUACAAAGGGCAGCUAAACCGCGAGGUCAAGCAAAUCCCAUAAAGUUGUUCUCAGUUCGGAUUGUAGUCUGCAACUCGACUACAUGAAGCUGGAAUCGCUAGUAAUCGUAGAUCAGCAUGCUACGGUGAAUACGUUCCCGGGUCUUGUACACACCGCCCGUCACACCACGAGAGUUUGUAACACCCGAAGCCCGGUGGAGUAACCAUUUAUGGAGCUAGCCGU